AGUUAUAACAAAAGCAGUUUGACACUGUAUUGCAUUUCCUCAACCUCUAUAUAUUUUAUAAUCUUAGCUUUAAUUUUUAAUGCAUGUGACCAGAAAAUAAGUAAUCUACCUCAGUAGUUUAUACUGGAAAAUCAGAAUGGUAGAAGGAAGGUCAGAAGUGUCCAGAAAACAGUCGAAUGCAUUGCUCAUUCAUGCUUCUUUUCCAAGAGCAGCAAAUAAGUUACGAGCUUGAAUGUAGUUAGAGAGAUUUUGAAAUUUUGAUUCUGACAUUAGCAGUGUGGGAAUAGAUGGCUGCUGGCAGGCAGACAGCCAAAGGCUUCUCAAUGAGGUGAUGGUGGAGCACUUCUUUCGACAAGGAAUGCUGGAUGUAGCUGAGGAGCUCUGUCAGGAAUCUGGUCUUUCUGUAGACCCAAGUCAGAAGGAACCAUUUGUGGAGUUAAAUAGAAUAUUAGAGGCAUUAAAGGUCAGAGUUCUGA
rnacentral:sRNA from 1 species